rnacentral:rRNA from 1 species
AACAGGGAUUGCCCUAGUAACGGCGAGUGAAGCGGCAACAGCUCAAAUUUGAAAUCUGGCGCAAGCCCGAGUUGUAAUUUGUAGAGGAUGCUUCUGGGCAGCGGCCGUUCUAAGUUCCUUGGAACAGGACGUCAUAGAGGGUGAGAAUCCCGUAUGUGACCGGCACGUACCCUUUACGUAGCUCCUUCGACGAGUCGAGUUGUUUGGGAAUGCAGCUCUAAAUGGGAGGUAAAUUCCUUCUAAAGCUAAAUACCGGCCAGAGACCGAUAGCGCACAAGUAGAGUGAUCGAAAGAUGAAAAGCACUUUGGAAAGAGAGUUAAAAAGCACGUGAAAUUGUUGAAAGGGAAGCGCUUACAACCAGACUUCGUGGCGGUGUUCCGCCGGUCUUCUGACCGGUCUACUCGCCGCCGCGAGGCCAGCAUCGUCUGGGGCCGCCGGAUAAGACCUUAGGAAUGUAGCUUGCCUCGGUAAGUGUUAUAGCCUAGGGUGAUGCGGCGUGCCUCGGGCGAGGUCCGCGCUUCGGCAAGGAUGCUGGCGUAAUGGUUGUCAGCGGCCCGUCUUGAAACACGGACCAAGGAGUCUAACAUCUAUGCGAGUGUUCGGGUGUCAAACCCCUACGCGUAAUGAAAGUGAACGGAGGUGGGAAGCGCAAGCUGCACCAUCGACCGAUCCUGAUGUCCUCGGAUGGAUUUGAGUAAGAGCAUAGCUGUUGGGACCCGAAAGAUGGUGAACUAUGCCUGAAUAGGGUGAAGCCAGAGGAAACUCUGGUGGAGGCUCGCAGCGGUUCUGACGUGCAAAUCGAUCGUCAAAUUUGGGUAUAGGGGCGAAAGACUAAUCGAACCAUCUAGUAGCUGGUUCCU